UCCCUGAUGGACUAGUGGCUAGCAUGCAGUGUUCUUACCACUGCGGCCCAGGUUCUAUUCCCGGUCUGGGAA